rnacentral:misc_RNA from 1 species
GAUGAAGAACGCAGCGAAAUGCGAUAAGUAAUGUGAAUUGCAGAAUUCAGUGAAUCAUCGAAUCUUUGAACGCACCUUGCGCCCUUUGGCUAUUCCGAAGGGCAUGCCUGUUUGAGUAUCAUGAACACCUCAACUCUUCACGGCUUGCCGUGAUGAGUUUGGACUUUGGGGGUCUUGCUGGCCUACGAGCCAGCUCCUCUCAAAUGUAUUAGCUUGCCGGUGUUUGGUGGCAUCACAGGUGUGAUAACUAUCUACGCUUGUGGUUUUCCGCUAGGUAACCUUCAGCAAUGGAGGUUCACCGGAGCUCACAAAUGUCUCUCCUUGCCAAGGACAGAUUUUGACCAUUUGAUCUCAAAUCAGGUAGGACUACCCGCUGAACUUAAGCAUAUCAAUAAGCGGAGGA